rnacentral:sRNA from 1 species
CGCUGACAUCGCUACCAUGGUCUCCGGCAGCAGCGGCCUCGCCGCCGCCCGUCUCCUGUCGCGCAGCUUCCUCCUGCCGCAGAAUGGAAUUCGGCAUUGUUCCUAUACAGCUUCUCGGAAACAUCUCUAUGUUGAUAAAAUACAAAGAUUAUUUGCCAGGGUUUCACUGGCAAACAGGGCACCUUUCACAGCCAGCAGGCAUUGGAAUAUGGCACCAAACUCGUUGGAGGAACCACUCCAGGGAAAGGAGGCCAGACACAUCUGGGCUUACCUGUCUUUAAUACUGUGAAGGAGGUAAUUAGUGGUGUCUGAGUUUGGCAAGACAAGAAAAGCAAGGGAAGAGCGAGCAUUCUUUGGGCCAAAGAACAGACAGGAGCAACGGCUUCUGUCAUUUAUGUUCCUCCGCCUUUUGCUGCUGCUGCCAUUAAUGAAGCUAUUGAGGCAGAAAUUCCCUUGGUUGUGUGUAUCACUGAAGGAAUUCCCCAGCAGGACAUGGUACGAGUCAAGCACAAACUGCUGCGCCAGGGAAAGACAAGGCUAAUUGGGCCCAACUGCCCUGGAGUCAUCAAU